AUCCAGCAUAGCUUUGUGUGAACUUUAGCAAUUGUGAAAAAAUGUUAGUUUAAUUUGGCAAAAGCUCAGGGCAAGUAUUAGAAAUGAAGACAAGACAGCGCAACAAAGAGCAUCCCCCUUGAAUAGCAGAAAAAUCAUAAGCAAAAUGCAAAGCACCAAAUUAAAACGCCGAAAAGGGUGAUUAAUCCACAGGAAUUAUUGCAUUUCCUCUUGCAACUUGCAACAAUCCAUCCAUUUGCUACCAAUCUGGUUGGCUU